GUUCUCUAUAUAAACAAGGUAAAUGAUGUAAGAAUUCAAAAAAUCUCUAUAAUUCUCUUACAAAGACUGACAAAAAUCAGCGUGCUCACUAGGGUAGGCGAGGAGGGGCGACGGGGGCCCCGGUGCCAUGCUCCUCGGGUGGUAGGUGCGGUUCAGCGCCGCCAGCCCCUUCGCCUGGGUCUGGCGCUGCUGCUGCGCCAGCUGGAAGGCGUCCUUAACCUGCAGCAGCCUCUUCUCCAUCUCAGGGGCACCGGGAUCCAGCUUGGACGAAGCCUGCCCAGCGUUCCGGGGGCAGCCGGCUCGGCAGACCACUGUCGGAGUCUCCAUAGCGACGCCCCAAACUCUGGUCGGCCGAGGGCGUGGCUACCGCCAGAGCUUUCAAAUAACUCCCGCGGGGGAAGGAAAUACCGCGAGACGGCCGCGAGAGCAGCGGCGCUCUCGGUUUCGCGCAUGCGCAGAGGGCUGAGCCAGCCCUUUUCUGGUUGGAAGAGGGAUAUCUGUCUAUGGGUGCGGAGGUCAAGGAUACAUUCCAGGAAAGUUUUAAAAAUAUAUCACCAGCUCCAACUUUAUGGUUGAUCUAACCAUGGAAAACCUCAUUGGAUCCUCACUAGAUCAGACCAUGACUGGCACUCUGAAAAGCAUGAGGAAUGAGAAUCUGAGAUAUAUACCUACCACUUCAAGAAAGUUCCUGUAUCAGCCAGCACUUUAGCAGAUCAGCUAGUUUCUUGAUCAUCAAGCAGACAUAGUCGAGCUACCAGCCCAACAGAGGAAAACGUCUCUGUAUCAGUGUUUUUCCCAUUCUGAGUGUUACCCGUUUGUAGGUCAUGAAAUCAAUUUUGUGAGUCACAACGAACAUUUUUUUUAAACAAAAUAAAAUGCAAAAUAUCAGAGUGCUUGUAUGAAUCCUUUGCCAGAAUUAUGCACUUGCAAGGAAUACUAAAGUCAGUUUCACUAUAUGAAAAGAUAUUUGAUGGGGGGAUGUGAUGAGCAGAAUGUACAUGAAGAAAAUGGUUUUUCAGUUUGUCUCCUAAUAACUUGUUGGUUUUCAUCAUAAGGAGGUUGAUUGUGCAGCCUGGUUUUAUGUUACCAUGACUUGCAACUGGAUAUCAAAUCUGAGAUGUUCAACUGAGAUUCAGUUGCAAACUGCUUUUUUGGGGAAGAUGUUAUCUAGGCUAUAAGUAUAUAUACAUUUGAGUUAGUGGCAUUAUAGCAUUUUAUUCAAGAAUUGCUUUUAAAAUGGAUCGUGUCUUUUUUAAAAGAAAGAGGAUAAUGAAACAAAAUAUGCAGAAGCAUGUUCAAGUUCAACUGUUGGAUCCAGAAGUGUGAAUGAUGACAAUCUUAAGAAAAAUAUUGACUCUCAUCUGCAAACAUCAACUUUUGAGCCACAUUUCAAAAAGAAAAAAGUAAGUGCAAGGCGUUAUAAUGAAGAUUAUUUAAAAUACGGUUUUAUCAAAUGUGAAAAACCCUUUGAAAAUGACAGACCUCAGUGUGUAAUUUGUAAUAAUAUUCUUGCAAAUGAAAGCUUAAAACCUUCGAAAUUAAAACGGCACUUAGAAACUCAGCAUGCUGAACUUACUGACAAGCCUCUUGAAUAUUUUCAAAGAAAGAAAAAGGAUGUGAAGUUAUCAACACAGUUCCUGAGCUGUUCUACUCCUGUUAGUGAGAAAGCCUUAUUAUCAUCAUAUUUAGUGGCAUAUCGUGUGGCAAAAGAGAAAAUGGCUCAUACGGCUGCUGAAAAAAUUAUUCUCCCAGCCUGUUUGGAUAUGGUGCGUACAAUUUUUGAUGAUAAAUCAGCUGAUAAAUUAAAAUCAAUUCCUAGUGAUAACACAAUAUCACUGCGAAUUUGUACAAUCGCAGAACAUUUAGAAACAAUGCUUAUUACUCGGUUACAGUCUGGAAUAGAUUUUGCAAUCCAGCUUGAUGAAAGCCCUGAUACUGGAAGCGGUACGACACUUUUAGUCUAUGUCAGAUAUGCAUGGCAGGGUGAUUUUGUGGAGGAUUUUUUGUGUUGUUUAAAUUUAACUUCACACCGAAGCGGGUUAGAUAUUUUUACCGAAUUAGAAAAGUGCAUUGUUGGUCAGUAUAAAUUAAACUGGAAACACUGCAAAGGAAUUACAAGUGAUGGAACAGCAAACAUAACUGGAAAACAUAGCAGAGUAAUUAAAAAAUUGUUAGAAGUUACCAAUAAUAGUGCUGCAUGGAAUCAUUGUUUUAUACAUCGUGAAGCUUUAGCGUCCAGAGAAAUGCCACAGAAUCUCAUGAGAGUAUUGAGAAAUGCAGUGAAAGUUGUUAAUUUUAUUAAAGGAAGCUCACUAAAUAGCCGACUCCUUGAAACAUUUUGUUCAGAGAUUGGAGCUAAUUAUACCCAUUUACUGUAUCACACCAAAGUGCGUUGGUUGUCGCAAGGGAAAAUCCUAAGCAGGGUUUACGACUCAGGAGUGAGAUCCACGUUUUUCUCACGGAAAAAAAAUCUCAUCUGGCAACUGUUUUUGAAGAUGAUAUUUGGGUAACGAAAUUGGCAUAUUUAACUGAUAUUUUUGGCAUUCUUAAUGAACUAAGUUUAAAACUACAGGGGAAGAACAGUGAUAUAUUCCAACACGUCGAACGUAUCCAAGGCUUCCACAAGACGUUAUUGUUGUGGCAAGCAAGGCUUAAAAGCAGUCGUCCGAGCUACUACAUGUUUCCAAGAUUUUUGCAACACAUCGAAGAGAAUAUUAUUAAUGAAAACAUUUUAGAAGAAAUAAAACUAGAGGUAUUAUUGCAUCUCACGUCUCUCUCUCAAACUUUUAACCAUUUCUUCCCAGAAGAGAAAUUUGAAACUUUAAAAGAAAACUGUUGGGUAAAAGAUCCAUUUGCUUUUCGAAACCCCGAAUCAAUAAUCGAGUUAAACUUGGUGCCUGAAGAAGAGAAUGAAUUACUGCAGCUCAGUUCUUCAUAUGCCUUGAAGAAUGAUUAUGAAACCUUAAGUUUAUCAGCAUUCUGGAUUAAGAUAAAGGAAGACUUUCCUUUGCUAAGUAGAAAGAGUGUCCUGCUCUUACUACCAUUCACGACAACGAGUUUGUGUGAACUGGGGUUUUCAGUCCUAACCCAGUUAAAAACGAACGGACCGAAUGGUGCAGCAGGUCUGCGGGUAGCGGUUUCCUCCUGUGUCCCAGACUGGAAUGAACUCGUGAACAGGCAAGCACACCCACCAGUUAGGUAAAUCUUACCUGGUUUUUGGUUUGCAUUUCCUAUUUUGUGAUUUUUUUUUUUCUGUGUUGUAUUUACAUGUUAACAUAGCAUUGUAUGUGCAACUUUCUCUUUUUGUUAUAUUUAAAAACUAAUAAAAUCCUGUAAUUUUCUGUCCAUUGAACCAAAAUCUGAUGAACUUCUAUGAAAGGUCAGGAACCCUUCUAGAGACGUUUAGGAUACAAAAUAAGGAAGACAGAGAUCAUUUCUCUGGUGGAGCAUAUGGUCUGGCAAGGGGAGAGAGUGAACAACAUAAAUUAGCUUUAUAAUAUUUAGAAGGUAGUAAGCGCUGUGGAAAGUGGUAAGAAAGAAGAUCCAGGAACUAUUUGUGGGCCAAAUUUUGAAUGGCUCGAGACAUAAUAGGGCUUCUGGGUUUUUGUUAGAAAUUGUGAGAUGGAGAGCAAUGGAAACAUUCUGGGGAGGAAGACAUGAUAUCAGGUCUUAGAAAAAUCCCUCUGGGAGUUCCUAUUGUGGUGCAGCAGAAACGAAUCCAACUAGUAACUGCGAGGUUUCAGAUUCAGUCCCUGGCUUCGCCAGUGGGUUAAGGAUCCGGCGUUGCCCGAGCGCUGUGGUGUAGGUCACAGAUGGACUAGUAUCCCGAAUUGCUGCGGCUGUGGUCUAGGCCAGUGGCACAGCUCAUAUUCAACCCCUAGCCUGGGAACCUCCACAUGACACAGGUGUGGAUCUAAAAUAAAUAAAUAAAUAAAAAUUAAAAAAAAAA
rnacentral:lncRNA from 9 species